rnacentral:rRNA from 1 species
UGGGGAAUUUUGGACAAUGGGCGAAAGCCUGAUCCAGCAAUGCCGCGUGUGUGAAGAAGGCCUUCGGGUUGUAAAGCACUUUUGUCCGGAAAGAAAUCCUUGGCUCUAAUACAGUCGGGGGGAUGACGGUACCGGAAGAAUAAGCACCGGCUAACUACGUGCCAGCAGCCGCGGUAAUACGUAGGGUGCAAGCGUUAAUCGGAAUUACUGGGCGUAAAGCGUGCGCAGGCGGUUUGCUAAGACCGAUGUGAAAUCCCCGGGCUCAACCUGGGAACUGCAUUGGUGACUGGCAGGCUAGAGUAUGGCAGAGGGGGGUAGAAUUCCACGUGUAGCAGUGAAAUGCGUAGAGAUGUGGAGGAAUACCGAUGGCGAAGGCAGCCCCCUGGGCCAAAUACUGACGCUCAUGCACGAAAAGCGUGGGGGAGCAAAACAGGAUUAGAUACCCCUGGUAGUCCACGCCCUAAAACGAUGUCAACUAGUUGUUGGGGAUUCAUUUCCUUAGUAACUAGCUAACGCGUGAAGUUGACCGCCUGGGGGAGUACGGUCGCAAGAUU